rnacentral:tRNA from 1 species
GCCCGCGUAGCUCAGUGGAUUAGAGUGUUCGCCUCCGAAGCGAAAGGCCGUAGGUUCGAGUCCUACCGCGGGUA